AUCCAUCCCUUAAAAAGAAUUACAACUUACAUUGCAAAGUUGUUGGGCACGUGUUGAGAUGUUUUCAAUUUCAUCACACCAUUUUCGUAUAGGAUGUAAUACCUAGCAAAAACGUACGAUUUUGAACUCUAUAGAUUACAAUUAAAUUAUAUAUAAAGAGAAAAAUUAUUUAAAAUCUAAUCUGAUUUCACACCUGACUGUUGCAGCUGUCUUUAUCGUGUAAUAUCGGUAAGUUUUAAUAUUAUUUCUCAGUAUUUUAUCCAACAAUUAAAAAACAUUACCAACAUUAUUAUCAGACGGUACAAUCAUUAUUUAAUAUGUCUAGUACAUAAGUCAAUAUUUAUUUCUACAUAACACUAUGUUUUAAUCAUAGUUGUUUUUAUUUUUAUUUAUCUUUUUGAGAUAAAAUAAUAGUAAAUGAAAUAUUAAUUUAGAGUGUUUUUUUUUCUAGGUAUUUAACAAAGUCUAGACGUAGAAUUGAAUAUGUCACGCUCACCUUCCUACAGUCCUGUUUUAGAUAACAUUGACCAACAACGUAACAAUUUGAUAGAGAGCUCAGAUCCAGUUUUUAAUCCAUUUUACUAUGCUCAAGACCGAGAGAGCUGGUACGCCGAAGUGUCGGCACAGGCAUGUGAGGAGAGUAGACAGCAAGAAAUAGAAAAGGAAAAAUUAAAGAAGAAAAAAAAUAAAUCAAAAUCUUUUAAAAACAAAUCCUUUGUCAUGCGUAAAGAGUCCGGGACCGUUCGCCGAAUAAUAAAAAUAAUUGUACAUGAUGUGGAUGGUCGUCAUAUGGACGAAAUAGACAGUGAUCCAGAUAGUGCAAGCGUCAAUAUACAAUAUUUAGUGCGAAGCGAUAUUGAUGAAAUCAUGAGUGAAACUGAGUAUUUAGUUACUAAAAUAGUUAAAAAGUUAAGUUCAACUUCAUGUAAUUGAUAUUUAAAAUAUAAUCAUUCUAAAUAUUA